rnacentral:rRNA from 1 species
GAGGAAAGCAGGGGAUCGCAAGACCUUGCGCUUUUGGAGCGGCCGAUGUCUGAUUAGCUAGUUGGUGAGGUAAAGGCUUACCAAGGCGUCGAUCAGUAGCUGGUCUGAGAGGACGACCAGCCACACUGGGACUGAGACACGGCCCAGACUCCUACGGGAGGCAGCAGUGGGGAAUUUUGGACAAUGGGGGAAACCCUGAUCCAGCCAUGCCGCGUGAGUGAAGAAGGCCUUCGGGUUGUAAAGCUCUUUCAGCCGGAACGAAACGGUCACGGCUAAUACCUGUGACCACUGACGGUACCGGAAGAAGAAGCACCGGCUAACUACGUGCCAGCAGCCGCGGUAAUACGUAGGGUGCAAGCGUUAAUCGGAAUUACUGGGCGUAAAGCGUGCGCAGGCGGUUUUGUAAGU